UUUCCUUGAUGUCAUUAAGUCAACUGGGAGACGCCGCCUAAACUUCAUCAAACUCCACAUAGUAGUCCUCCUCCUGGGCUACCUGCUCUUCACCUAUGGAGGGGGGUUAUAUAUUGCAAGGGUGAGCUCACAAAAGUUCAUCGCUUUACAAGUGUGGGGAAUAAUAUGCAUGAGCUUGCCAAAAGUGGGGGUAAAAGUCACCUAGAGGGGGUGAAUAUACGAAACCUGAAAAUUAAAAACUUUGAACACGCACUAUGCCCGGGGUUAGCGUUAGAAAUAAUUCAGAGUGCGGAAGAUAGUUCUCCUUGCUAGGAGUUGCUCAAUCAAUGCGGAUAACUUUGGGAGCCAACUCAAAUCAAUAUGAGCAAGGGAACUUUUAGAGAGAGGAAAGAGGGGAAACAAAUCAAGUGAAGAUCAACACAAAUGAACAUGGUGAUUUCUUUACCGAGGUUUGGUUCCAAAGAACCUAGUCCCCGUUGAGGAGGCUACAAAGGCCGGGUCUAUUCCAACCCUUUCCCUCUCUCAAUCGGUCACACAGACUAGUCGAGUGCUUCUCUUUAAUCACUUGGGUCACUAAGACCCUGCAAGGAUCACCACACACUUAGGCUAGCUUUACAAAGCACUUAGAAGAAUUAGAAAGAGAAAGAGAAAGCAAUCCAAGCAACAAGAACAACAAAAGAAACACUAAACACCCUCUCUCAAGUCACUAAGUAAUUGAGUUGAUUUUGAGGCUUGGAGAGGAUUUGAUCUUUUGAUUGUGUCUUGGAGUGUAUGCUUUUGCUCUUGUAUUGAAUGUGGAGUUCAAAAAACUUGGAUGACUUGAAUGGAGGUGGUUGGGGGUAUUUAUAGCCUCCAACCACUUCCUAGCCGUUGGCUGACUUUGCUAUCGACGGGCACACCGGACAGUCCGGUGGUGCACCAGACAUGGCACUGUUCUGUCCGGUGCGUGUCACAUCAGCUGCCCAUUAGGGUUUGGAGCAGUUGAACUUUGAAGUCAUUUGUCCUCUUGCGGCAUCGAACAGUCUGGUGCAUUCUGGCUUUGCAGUUCUGACUCCUGACUUGUGCACUGUUCACUGUUCAUCUGACAUCGCAGUCGACCGUUGGGCGCAGUUGACCGUUGCUCCGUUGGCUCACCGUUCAUGUCUGGUGCACACCGGACAGUCCGGUGAAUUAUAGCGGAGUGACUCUAGGAAAAACUCGAGAGCGGCCAGUUCAUGGGUGCCUUGGCCUAGGCACCGGACAAUGUCCGGUGCGCCACUGGUAGCACCAAUGCUUGUCUUUACUCCAAACUUUGUUGAGUUCCCCAACUCCAUUUCUUUGUCAGUUUAUGUUGAACUUUGUGCACCUAAGAUAAAUGACAACUAGGCAAACUAGUUAGUCCACGUGGUUUGUGAUGGACGUCAAACACCAAAAUCGAUUAUAGGAAAUGAUUAAGCUAAUUUCCCUUUCAGGGGGCUCAUGUGAAGUGUAAGGCUGAUCAACAAAUAAUGGUUAAAGCUGAGCAUUGCUUUUAAUAAGUUGGUCAAAUUUUAUGAGCAAUUAUUAAAUGUAAGUAUAUACCAACCCAAAGUAAUAAUAGAUCAAAAUUAAUAAUAAAACCACAAUGCGAUGCACAUGACAAAAUUGAGUUUAAUUCCAUAAGUUAAUCAUGCGAGAGUCCUGAGCUACUCAUGACCGCGAGCACGGCUAGUAUACCAGUUUUACACUCUGCAGAGGUUGUACCCUUUACCCACAAGUCAUGCUACCCAUUUUCCAAGGGGUCUAGAAGUCUCAUUCAUCUCUAUCGAGAAGAUGAGGCAGGGUAACACUAUGAGGCCUUUACAAAGUUCCACUAGCUUCAUAAAACCCGCUACGGUUUUUUAGGAGAGCGAUAUAGGAAUCCCCCGUCUGAAAAGCCAUCGCAGCAUGCUCAACCCGAGAACCUCCCUAUACCAACAACUCUAAAAGUCGUCUAGAGGGGGUUGAAUAUGCGAAACCUGAAAUUUAUAAACUUUGAACACGCACUUCACCUAGGGUUAGGUUUAGAAAUAAAAAAUAGUUAAUUCAGAGUGCAGAAGAUAAUUCUUCUUGCUAUGAGUUGCUCAAUCCAUGCGGAUAACUUUGGGAGCAAACUCAAAACAAUGUGAGCAAGAGAACUUUUAGAGAGAGAGGAGAGGGGAGAAACAAAUCGAAUAGUGAAGAUCAACACAAGUGGACACGGUGAUUUGUUUCCCGAGAUUCGGUUCCAAAGAACCUACUCCCUGUUGAGGAGGCCACAAAGGCCGGGUCUAUUUCAACCCUUUUCCUCUCUCAAUCGGUCACCUAGACCGGUCGAGUGCUUCUUCUUAAUCACUUUGGUCACAAAGACCCCGCAAGGAUCACCACAUAAUUAGGUGUCUCUUGCUUGCUUUACAAAUCUCUUGGAAAGUUUAGAAGGUAAAGAAGAAAGCAACCAAGCAACAAGAGCAACAAAAGAAACACAAAUCACCCUCUCUCAAGUCACUAAACACUUUUGGUCACAUGACUUGAUUUUGGAACUUGGAGAGGAUUGAAGGCUUUGAAUGUGUCUUUAGAGUGUAUUCUUUGCUCUUGUAUUGAAUGAAGAGAGUGGGAUGCUUGGAUGGCUUGAAUGGUGGUGGUUGGGGGUAUUUAUAGCCCCAACCACUAUUCUAGUCGUUAGCUGAAUUCUCUGUUGAUGGGCACACCGGACAGUACGGUGGUGCACCGGACAAAGCACUAUUCAUUGUUCGGUGCGUGCCACGUCAGCCGAUCGUUGGGGUUUGGAGCUGUUGACCGUUGAAUACUUCUGUCCUUUUAGUGCACCGGACAGUCCGGUGCGACCUGUCGUCGCGGACUGUCUUCUAACUUCUGACGCUGCAGACUGCGGGCGCCGUCCCACAGUCGACCGUUGGUGGAGUCGACCAUUGCUCUGAGGGCUCACCGGACAGUCUGGUGGCACACCGGACAGUCCAAUGAUUUUUAGCGGACGAGCUCCGAGAAACCCCGAGAGCGGCCAGAUCGCGGAGUGCUCCAGCUAGGGCACCGGACAGUCCGGUGCACCACUGACUGCAGCAAGUCGGUUUGCUCCAAAUUUGUAGAAUUGCCCCAAAGUUAUUUUCUUUGUAUGUGUAUGUGAACUUUAUGCACCUAAGAAAAAUAACAACUAGGCAAACUAGUUAGUCCAUAAGGUUUGUGAUGGACGUCAAACACCAAAAUCGUUUAUAGAAAAUAUUUAGUUAAUUUCUCUUUCAAACUCCCCUAACUCCCGUGCCCCUUUCGGGUAAGGUAGACCUCCACUAUCUUUCCUAAUUAAUCAGCUAAGGGCGUCCCAUUCCACCCUUGUGGUAACACGGUUAUCUCAAGUUAAGCUUCAUGUUCCAAUUAACACAAUAGUCUUAUCAUGAACAGUAAAGAAUUCAAUAACAGUAAAGACAUGAUCAUGAAUGAUAUAUAUCUUAACACCCAAAACCACAUAGAGCAAUAACAGAUACUAUCCAAAAGUUCAGUGGUAAACAAGUCAUAAAGAUGACCAAACUAGAGUGACCUAUUGGGCCCCAUCAAAAUUAAACCUACACAUGCCAAAGUGAUUAUAAAGAAAAUUAUUGAGUGAAGGAAAUUGGUCAAGGGCACAACUUUCCUUCAAUGAGCUCCUACUCAGAGUUUUCCACCUCUGAGUACCAGGGUCCUCGGUCACUUGCUCGUCUAUUCGCAGCAAUACAAACAAACAUGGUAUAGGAGAAAUUAACAUCACACCAAACAGAAGAACAUAAUGCAUGAUAAUGAUCUAUGCAUCGCAUCGAGAUCCUAGGUUUAAGAAUCAGUAAUUCAGAGUUACGGUUAUAAAGUUAUGAUUUUCUAAAGGUUUUGGUGUUUAAUAUAAAACAAAUGAAGUACAUGAUUUUAACCAUAGGUUUCAUAGUAAUAUAAGGUUACUAGAUGAUAAACAAUAUUAACAUGAGUUUAAUGCACUUGGAAUGGAUCAAUUUGGAGUUAAAAUGGAUUAAUUAUGAAUUUUCAAUAUUCUAGAAUUAUUUCUAUAUUAGAAAUUAUUUUCUGUAUUAAUUUUGAAUACCUCUUAUGACUUGGACUGCGGACAUAAAUACCAAUGGGUUUCAGGGUUCAAAUCAUAAAAACACAAGACCUAUCUAUGGUGUUUCUACUCUAGGCGUGGACUGCAGGUUAAUAACUAAAUUAGGUAGGGACUCUUCUGUAAAACAAGCAACGCGAAGGGGUAUGCAUGAAUCACAGCCGUCCGAUCUAACUCCUGCGCACCAGAUUAGAACGGUACUGAUUAUGAGCCUGCAUUCUCUCUUAAUCGUCAGAUCCGAGAUCCAUGAUCCAUGGCUCACGAUCUACUGUCUCUCUCUCUCAGUCGUGCGAUCGUCGCCCUAGGAUAACCAUCCAACGGUCGCCGAUCAUCUUCUUCCCAUGCCAGCUCCUUCCCAGCCGGCGGCGCUCGUUAGCCGUGCCGGCGCCAUUACCAAUCGGCAUAAGCCCGUGCUCCAGCGACCACCACAGUCUAAAUACCGAUGCUAUCGUCUGCGAAGCUCGUAGCGGCCAUGAUAGGGGGGAGACUUACCAACGCAGAGGCAAGGACGAGGCCGGCGAAGACGACUUGAAGGUUCACCACGCGACGAGAGCUCCAUGAAGGAUCGCCACCGAGACCCCCCCCCCCCCCCAAUACGUCCGUCGUCGCUCCAAAUGGUUUCGUAGCACCCGAAGACUUCCCCCAACGGCCUCCCGAACCAAGCACAAUGCAGGUGCGGUGACGGCGGUGACCGCGGGCUCUCUCUCUCUCUCCUCUCGGUCCCUCAACACUAUGGUGGCGAUUUCUACCGCGUGGGCUUGGAAGUAGUCACAAAUGGAGGGGGAAGAACGAAGCGCACAAAUGAGGAGCUAG
rnacentral:lncRNA from 1 species